UAAAAUGGAAAUGUCUUCUCAGAUAUAACACAGCUGAGGAUGUGCUGAGGGAGAGCGCACAACUGAGCACAAAAGAUCUGGGCGAAAGAGCACGUGCUGCAGCUGAACUCCUAAAGCCCUCUCCAAACCAGAGGCUAAGCUAAUGAUGAGACAUGAAGACCGUUUAGAGACAGCACGACUCCAGCAAUCCAUGAGAACAAUGCAAAGUUCAAAAAUAGCAGUAUCGACUGGUGGAAAAACAACAUACAUAUAAUUUUCAGCAUUCUUGGGGAAGAAAAAGAAGAGCGGAAAGAAAGGAAAAAAGAAGAUGAACAUUCAAAUCCAUUUUCUCACCAGAGAAAGGUGAGCAAAUGUACACGCAGAAACAGAUUCAUUCCUUGGGGGCAGUUAUUUUCUGAGAUAAAACUUACAGGGGUUACCUUUGGGUAAGUUAAACCAGUGCUGGGAGCGUUUGGUAGGAAGGUAGGAUGCGGUUGCCUUCUUAGCUAGGAUGGUGUGUAACGUGUGUGCCUCAUCUCAGUACAGAAGGCAGUUCUCCUGUCGCACAGUAUCAUCCAGUGCAAUCGAGUUUUGAAUCAUAGAAUCAUUAAGGUUGGAGAAGACCUCUAAGAUCACGCAGUCCAACUGUCAGAUCAUCCCCACCAUGCCCGCUAACCACGUCCCUCAGUACCACAUCCAUGCAGUUCUUGAACUCCUCAAGGGAUGAUGAAUCCACCAUCUCCCUGGGCAGUCUGUUCCAAAAUAUCAGCAAGGCUGAACGAAUGUAUUUUCACGUGAGCACUCUGCAGCAGUGGUCAUCCAGCCUUUAUUUUUCUUCCCACAUCGUGCUUUAUGAAGGUGUUAGACUUACAGGGUUUGAGCAGGAGGGAACCUCCUCUCCUGGGGAACCAUAGGAAGACCCCGUCCUGUCCAUCCUCACUGAAAACCACCUCUAUUUGACAUCACCACUACUUAAUUUUGACACAGUCCGUGUAUAGAAUAGCUUAACUCCAAAGGGCGGGCCUUAAGAACAUUAGCAGGGCGCUAUGAGCCAGCAGAUAUUGCCCAUUGGUAGUAGGGAGGAAAAGGCUAAGCAAAUAGUUUUAAAGAAUGGGCUAAUUGUGUGCCUAUUGCCAUUGUCCUGCAGCUGCAGUGCUUUGUAUGGCAGCAAAGUGCACGGGGAGCCAAGCUUGGCUUGGCAUCCAUAACUCCAGCCUGGGAAUACAAUAUACAGGGCAUGCAAGUAUCAGAGAGGACAAUUAGAAAUUUUGAAAGAUUAAACACAAAAUUGCAAUGGAAAAAGAGUUUGUAUAGCAGCCAAGGCAGGCUUUGAGGGCUUGGUGUUGUAAAAUGCACUCGUGUACAGUAAGAAGGCAAGUUGAUAUUUAGGAACUGAAAAAACAGGAAACAUGCAGAUGAGGCUCGUAUGUGUCACACUGUAACGCUGCAUGUGUAAUUAAAGAUGAUAGUAACUCAUUUACAUGUGCUUUCCAUCCUGCAAUAACACUGUUCUAUCAGCAGGCCUAAGGACAUAAAACAGGUAACCUUAACAGAACGGUUCAGAUUUUUUCCCUAAUUUAGGAUUUUAGGUGGUUAGCUCUCUGUGCAUUUUAAUAACACAGGCACCAGUGAUGUAAUUAAUGCUCUUACCUAAAUAAGUACCAGCCUUUAUUUUGGGCCUAAUUUGAGAUGGUGGUAAUGUAACAUUGCACUUAGCUGUGCAUUCAGGGGAGAUGUGUGCACCAGCUGAGUUUGUUACUUUACAUUGCUGAACUUACUGAAUAGCACAUGGAGCCAUUCUAUGUACGUUGUAUAUAAAGAAUUAAAAGAAUCUAUUCUAUCACUUGACAUGCUGGCUACUCCAUUCUGC
ensembl:lncRNA